rnacentral:lncRNA from 1 species
CAACAAUGUACAAAGCCUAUGGCGUAUGCAUAGCAAACCACAAGGCUCCCGAUGAAAACUAGAGGCUCUAAAGAGCCUGUGUCGCUCACCUUGGUCUAUGUGAAUAUUAAACAAUGGACACAGAUGGAUUCAUGACAGAAUUGUGUUCUGGUGAUGGUGAUGUGUUUGUAGAUCUUACUUUACUAAACAUUUUUGCUGCUUACAAUUAUCUGUAUCUAUAACAGUACUUUCUGUGGAAAAUGUUAUUGAAAAUCUUCAAAUUUUAAGAAAAUUGUUAAAAAUUGACUAUGAAGGGCAAUAACUCCUUAGGGGGUCAAUUGACUAUUUUGGUCAUACUGACAUAUUUUUAGUUCUUACUUUGCUGUACAUUAUUGCUGUUUACAGUUUAUCUCUAUCUAUAAUAA